GAACAGAAAUAUAACGAGGUUCGCAGACCUGUCUACAUUAAACGGAAUGAAAUCAUCCAAUCCAUUCCAGACUUUUGGUUAACUGCGUUUCUUUAGUUGGUUUGGUGAAACUGAACUGAAAAAUUUCUCAGAUGGAGUAACAGAUGAGGUGGCAGAGAUUAUCAAGGAAGAUUUAUGGCCCAACCCUUUGAAAUAUUUUAAUAAUGCAAGUGUUCUCCCUUCCAUCCAUUAAUAAAAAAAGAAUAUUUACUGAUCCAUAGAAGUGCUUCUGCAUAUUAAUAUUAAUAAUUUAUGCAACUGAUGCAAUCUUAUUCUUAGACAUGUUAAUUUUAUUUAUUUGUUAUUUUGUUUAGAUGUUUUUGCACUUUUUUACAGAAAUAGUGAUUGGCAAUGGCUUGAAUUGACUUUCUCGAUGUCCGUGGAAAUUUGACUAAAUUACAGAGUAGGCAACCCAAAAAAAUUUACUCCUAUGAUUCCUAAUAAUUCUAUCCACUUUGAGGCUUCAGAAGUCUUUAUUUGAUAUAUUUUGAAAUCUCUGGUGUUUUGCUUCCUGAAUAUUCUCAUGUUCCAUUCCUCUGUUCCUAAGCCUUUAAUACGGUGCAAUCAUGAUGUUCGAUAAGGUAUCAUGGAGACCUAACAAAUGACUAUCAAGUAAAUUAAAGAGUGAAUGCCAUGAGAUCAUCUGUAGACAAGUAUAGCACUAUAUUAAAUCAUGGACAUGAGUUUUGCUUGCUGUAGACCUGUGCUAUUGCUGUGUAUUAUACAAUAUCUUCUUAUUUGCACACACUAAUAAAUCAUGUGUGACCAAUUAUGCUAUUUUUUGUCAGAAGGGAUCUGAAGAUGAUGAGGAUGGCGACCAAGAUGAUGAUGAAGAGGAGGAUGAUGAGGAUGAUAGUUAAUCCCUUGUAGCUUCUUUCAUUUUGGCUUCCACCACUUGCUGUGGCGAGUGCAAGGCAAGCUUAUGACUAUUGAAGGGCUCUUGACUCAAGCGGGCUGACUUUCGAUCAUGCUUUAAGCUUUGUAGUUGUCAAUUUUUGUACUUGGGGAGUUUCAUGAGCCCUAGUUAUAGCUGGUGGCGUGUCUAAAGCUAGGAGUUUAUUUACUGAUGUGGGUAUUAAAUGUUUGAUCUUGGACUUAUAGCAUCUCCGUAUCAAGAAUCCAGGACUUUGUAUGGGCAGCUGCUGCAUCAUUUUUUAUGAACUUGUUUAGUUUUACAUCAAUUUAAUCUGA